UCCGUAGGGUGCAAGCGUUGUCCGGAUUCAUUGGGCGUAAAGAGCGUGUAGGCGGCCAGGUAGGUCGGUUGUGAAAACUGGAGGCUCAACCUUCAGAGGUCGACCGAAACCAUCUGGCUAGAGUCCGGGAGAGGAGAGUGGAAUUCCUGGUGUAGCGGUGAAAUGCGCAGAUAUCAGGAAGAACACCCGUGGCGAAAGCGGCUCUCUGGAACGGUACUGACGCUGAGACGCGAAAGCGUGGGGAGCGAACAGG
rnacentral:rRNA from 1 species